CCCACCAACUUUGAAUUUGGGAAAUCUCUUGUUCAACCCCAAAAAAACCCCCAACUCUGUUUUCCCCCGGUACAAACCAAAACCUAUAAGAUUCCCAUUUAAACCCUCAUCACCGGGCAGAAGAGAAAGUGGGGCUCCGUUUGUCAUCCGCUGUAAAACGGCGUCUCCGAUCUUCAUGGAUUCGUCGUUGUCGUCUCUGCACCUAGCCAUGGCGGCUCUAGUUGGUGCUUCAUUGAUGGCGAUUUCGGCUUUUUACAUUCACAAGCGCACUGUCGACCAAGUACUCGAUCGUCUCAUUGAAAUCCGCCUCGGUUCACCUAAAAGCUCCAAAAUGAAAUCAGUCGUCACUGACGAAGAGAAUUCCGAAGAGGAGGAAAAUGAGGAGGCGAGUAGAUAUAAGGAUGAAGCUUACCGGUCGGAUGGAGAGGUGGCUGUGGAGAGAAAAAUGUGGAGCCGGAGUGCAUCGAGGUCGUUGGACGAUAAAAGUGUCCUUCGCAAUUAUAGAAUGUCACGUUCGAUGCCCAAUGCGUUAUUGAACAAUGAUUGGUUCGAUGAGGAUGUGAAGUUUGGUCAGCAGUCAUCGAGGUUUAGUGCUCAGGAUCAGGGAGAGAGGCUUAAUUUCGUUCCUUCAGGGCUGCCGCCUCUGCAAAUGUCUACAAGAGAUGGAGAGAAUAAAUCUGUUAACUACUCAAGUUCUGUUACAAGGAUGGCAUCUCUUGGCCGGCUAAAUACUCCAAGAUCCCCUGGUGGUAAUGCCCUUGAAAGCUUGUGGGAUUCUGAUGAGGAAGGAACAGAGUAUAAUGAAGAUGACAUUAUUUUCCUCAAUGGGAACAUGGAUUCUUCUGCAGAUCAUAUUAAUGAGGUUGAUUCAAAAUUUCAAAACUCAUCUUUGCUAUUUAGAGGUGACACUGCAAAUGUUAUUAAAGGUCAGAAUAUUGAAGAUCCUGGAGCUGAAGCAAAAGUUGGUGUUGAUAUGCUUAGCAGAAAAGUAGAUAUAGCUUCAGUGCGCCAAGUGGGAAAUGAAGCUGCUUUUGCCAGCACAAUUUUACCUUUGAGAACAACAAUGCAUGAGUCAGUAAAUAUAGAAGAGGAAGAAGUGCGGAAGAUGAUCCGUGAAUGCUUGGAUUUGCGGAAUAGGUAUGUUUACAGGGAAGUGGUUGCUCCAUGGAAGCAAGAUGUUACUGAACUUAGUACCAAAAAGUUGAAAUCAGAUCCGUUUCACUUUGAACCUGUCCCAGCAACAACACAUCACUUUAGGAUGGAAGAUGGAGUUGUACAUGUUUAUGCUAGUGAAAAAGAUACUGUAGAUCUUUUCCCUGUUGCUAGUGCAACAACAUUUUUUACAGAUAUGCACCACAUUUUAAGAAUCAUAUCUAUUGGAAAUGUUCGUACUGCUUGCCAUCACAGACUAAGAUUUCUUGAGGAGAAAUUCCGCCUUCAUCUGUUAGUAAAUGCAGAUAGGGAGUUCUUGGCUCAGAAGAGUGCUCCCCACCGCGAUUUCUACAAUAUCAGAAAAGUUGAUACACAUGUGCAUCAUUCUGCUUGCAUGAACCAGAAGCAUCUCCUGCGAUUCAUUAAGUCAAAGCUAAGAAAGGAACCAGAUGAGGUUGUUAUAUUUAGAGAUGGAAAAUACAUGACACUAAAGGAGGUUUUUGAGAGUUUGGACUUGACUGGGUAUGAUUUGAAUGUUGAUUUGUUGGAUGUCCAUGCUGAUAAAAGUACCUUUCAUCGAUUUGAUAAAUUUAAUCUCAAAUACAAUCCUUGUGGACAAAGCAGACUUCGGGAGAUUUUUUUAAAGCAGGAUAAUCUAAUUCAAGGACGUUUCUUGGCAGAAGUAACAAAAGAAGUUCUAUCAGAUCUUGAAGCAAGCAAAUACCAGAUGGCUGAGUAUAGGGUCUCUAUUUAUGGAAGGAAACAAAGUGAAUGGGACCAGCUAGCAAGUUGGUUCGUUAACAAUGCAAUUUGUAGUGAGAAUGCUGUCUGGUUAAUACAGCUACCACGGCUAUACAAUGUGUACAAGCAAAUGGGAACGGUUAAAUCCUUUCAGAAUAUUCUUGAUAAUGUUUUCAUUCCAUUAUUUGAAGUCACAAUAGAUCCAAGCUCUCAUCCUCAGCUACAUGUGUUCCUCAUGCAGGUUGUGGGAUUAGAUAUUGUUGAUGAUGAAAGCAGACCAGAAAGGCGUCCAACUAAGCACAUGCCAAAACCAGCAGAAUGGACCAAUGAGUUCAAUCCAGCCUACUCUUAUUAUGCUUAUUACUGCUAUACGAACUUAUAUACUCUGAAUAAGCUUCGUGAAUCUAAAGGAUUGCCGACCAUAAAAUUUCGGCCACAUUGUGGAGAGGCUGGUGAUAUUGACCAUUUGGCUGCUGCAUUUCUUCUAUGCCAUAACAUAUCUCAUGGGAUCAACUUGCGGAAAUCUCCUGUUCUGCAAUACUUGUAUUACCUUGCUCAGAUUGGAUUGGCUAUGUCACCAUUGAGCAACAAUUCCCUUUUCCUGGAUUAUCAUCGAAACCCAUUUCCGAUGUUCUUCCAGCGUGGUCUGAAUGUUUCACUCUCAUCUGAUGAUCCUUUGCAAAUUCAUUUAACAAGGGAACCACUGGUGGAAGAGUAUAGCAUUGCAGCAAAGGUGUGGAAACUCAGUUCAUGUGACUUGUGCGAGAUAGCGAGAAAUUCUGUUUAUCAAUCUGGAUUCUCCCAUGUGGCAAAGUUGCAUUGGCUUGGCAGCAAAUUUUUUCUAAGAGGUCCAGAGGGAAAUGAUAUUCACAAGACAAAUGUACCCCAUAUGAGGAUUGCCUUCAGACAUGAGACGUGGAAGGAGGAAAUGCAGUAUGUCUACUCGGGAAGAGCUGUUUUUCCUGAAGAAGUAGAAUUUUAAACAGAAUGAAACUGGAUUGCGAAUAAAGCAACUACAAAGUGGACACUGGUUCUCAGUGAGAAUUGCUAUCAGUUCCUCUGCAUGUUUCUGACUUUACCAAAUUUAAGGAGAAGAUGCCAUUUUCAAAGAGGCAAUUUUUAAGAGUGGCAGUGGAUUUUUCCAAGAACCCAAAGCCCACCUUCUCAAUAGUUUUCUUGGCAUCAGUAUUGAGGGUUCAAGUAGUAAUGACAAAAGAGGAUGCAUGGGUUAUCAAGUGAGGAUGAUCAUAUUUGCUCAUCUUACCACCAUUGACUAUAAAUUCAUCUCAUCUUUUGCUUUUUUCUACUUUUGGUGUCGAGACCAAUAUGGAAUACCUCGUGAGGUUCACUGUCCCUCGAUUAAAAUUCAAGUUGGUUUGCUUCGAUCUAGAGAUUGUGUGAACUAUGAUAUCCACUUCUGUGAGGCAAGCACUUGAACAAACACACAAUAAUGCAAGAAAUUAUUUAGCUGCUCUGCUGGAGCCUUGCGUUUGCAGAGUGAAAUCUUUGGAUUAUAUGGAAUGGGAUUUGAGUGAAAUUCUGGUUAGUGACUCUGGCAUAUUUGAGCCAAUAACCAACAGCUUGUAGUUUCUGAAUUGUUUGAUGAUAAUAGUGCGUGUAUUAUGAGAAGAAAUUAUCACUUUUAUAAACAUAUAUUAAACUAAUGUGUUGCCUAUUGCUUCCCUUAAAUUAUAAUGUAGAUCACCAAUUUGUGGUGAAUGAA